rnacentral:rRNA from 1 species
CACGUAGGGCGCAAGCGUUGUCCGGAAUUAUUGGGCGUAAAAGGGUGCGUAGGCGGUUUGGUAAGUCUUGUGUGAAAUCUCCAGGCUCAACUUGGAGUCUGCACGAGAAACUGCCGGGCUUGAGUGUGGGAGAGGUGAGUGGAAUUCCUGGUGUAGCGGUGAAAAUGCGUAGAUAUCUGGAGGAACACCGGUGGCGAAGGCGGCAUCCUGGACCGAUACUGACGCUGAGGAGCGAAAGCCAGGGGAGCAAACGGG